AUUGAACGCUGGCGGCAGGCCUAACACAUGCAAGUCGAACGAGUGGCGGACGGGUGAGUAAUGUCUGGGAAACUGCCUGAUGGAGGGGGAUAACUACUGGAAACGGUAGCUAAUACCGCAUACCAUCCGAUGUGCCCAGAUGGGAUUAGCUUGUUGGUGGGGUAACGGCUCACCAAGGCGACGAUCCCUAGCUGGUCGGAGAGGAUGACCGGCCACCCUGGACCUGGAACACGUUCCGACCUCUACGGGGGGGCACCGGGGGGGAAAUUUGCACAAGGGGGGCAGGCCUGAUGAAGCCAGGCCGCGUGUAUGAGGAGGGCCUUCGGGUUGUAAAGUACUUUCGGCGGGAAGGCGUUACCCGCAAAAGAAGCACCGGCUAACUCCGGGCCAGCGCCCGCGGUAAUA
rnacentral:rRNA from 1 species